GGUAGUCCACGCCGUAAACGAUGUCGACUUGGAGGUUGUGCCCUUGAGGCGUGGCCUUCCGGAGCUAACGCGUUAAGUCGACCGCCUGGGGAGUACGGCCGCAAGGUUAAAACUCAAAUGAAUUGACGGGGGCCCGCACAAGCGGUGGAGCAUGUGGUUUAAUUCGAUGCAACGCGAAGAACCUUACCUACUCUUGACAUCCAGAGAACUUAGCAGAGAUGCUUUGGUGCCUUCGGGAACUCUGAGACAGGUGCUGCAUGGCUGUCGUCAGCUCGUGUUGUGAAAUGUUGGGUUAAGUCCCGCAACGAGCGCAACCCUUAUCCUUUGUUGCCAGCGGUUCGGCCGGGAACUCAAAGGAGACUGCCAGUGAUAAACUGGAGGAAGGUGGGGAUGACGUCAAGUCAUCAUGGCCCUUACGAGUAGGGCUACACACGUGCUACAAUGGCGCAUACAAAGAGAAGCGACCUCGCGAGAGCAAGCGGACCUCAUAAAGUGCGUCGUAGUCCGGAUUGGAGUCUGCAACUCGACUCCAUGAAGUCGGAAUCGCUAGUAAUCGUAGAUCAGAAUGCUACGGUGAAUACGUUCCCGGGCCUUGUACACACCGCCCGUCACACCAUGGGAGUGGGUUGCAAAAGAAGUAGGUAGCUUAACCUUCGGGAGGGCGCUUACCACUUUGUGAUUCAUGACUGGGGUGAAGUCGUAACAAGGUAACCGUAGGGGAACCUGC
rnacentral:rRNA from 1 species